CGGGGUGUAGUUUAACGGUAGAAUAGGCGCAUGGGGUGCGUCUGGCGGCAGUUCAAUUCUGCCCACCCCGACCA
rnacentral:tRNA from 1 species